rnacentral:tRNA from 1 species
GGUUAUGGCUCAGCGGUAGAGCGCUCGCCUCGCACGUGCAAGGCCCUGGGUUCAAUCCUCAGCAUCA